ACGUCGGCGCUGGCCCCGGUGGGCGAGCCGGAAACGGAUUGGCGUUCUGGCCUCCGGGUCAGGCUCCCCGGCGGAGGAAGCGGGCGGCGCCGCGGGGCGGAGCCUUUGUGGCGAGGUGAUCUCGGGAACAGCGACCCCUUCAGGACCGUCGCGGCGCCGCCGCGGGGCGCGCCGGGAACUUGGCUCGCUCCGCCCGUGGGAAGGUCCGCGUCGCUGGGAGGAGCGCGCCGCGGAGUCGCAGCAGCGCGGCGCUAUGUGGUUAGUCCCAGAGAACCAAGAGCAGACGACUCCGGCCCCUCUUUUUAUUUGGAGGAAAAAUAUGGAUGUUGGAAAAUAGGAUUGCAGUAGCUGUGUCAUUAGAACCAGCAGCUCCCUGUCAUCUUGUACCCGCGCCCGCAGGUCUCGGAAGUGGCAGAAGAGGGUUGAGUUAGUGUCCCGCCCAGCCGGUUUUCAUUCAUUCAGCAUUAUCGAAUGUCUACCGUGUACCAGAGCUGAAUCGGGUGCUGGAGAUACUGUGCUUCAAAACACUGUCCUUGCCUUCAAGAUGCUCUCGGUUCUUUAACUUGACCACCUUAGGGGACUUCACUCCCAGCAGAAGCUCUGUAACCAUUUGCUGACGCAAGGACUUUGUGACUGCCUUACAGGGUCAACCCUAGGUGCCCACUGUGUGCGAAGUAUGAUGCCCAGGACACAGAGUGCCGAGCGGAGGUCACAAAGAAGUAGAAAAUGGUCACUGGAAUUAAAAUGCUUACAUUCCUGAAAUAAAUUCUUCGUUUGGUUGCAUGAAAUAGUGGCCAAUCCUCCUCCACUUCCUCCUCGAUCUGUUUACAGAAAGCACUCUAUGGAAGAAAGAAGAAUUAAAAUGAAAGCACAAAGAAAGAGCAGAUGAAAAAGGCCCAUUUGAAAAACAAAACAAAAGAAGAAAAUGAAUAAAAGAAAUGGAGUCAGUGUGGCAGUAAAUUGUAUGGUUUAAAUUCUUCCAGAUGGAAGUAAUAAAAACACAGUGUUCAGGGACAGCUGUGAUGCAAGGGAAAAUGUUUUUGUUUUUGUUUUUGUUACCGUCUGUGAUGACUACUGUGUAUGUCAUUUUUCAAAUAGCAUUGAAACUUUUAAGUCCUUGAAUAACUUGGGAAAAUAUGCUACAAUUAAAAAAUUUUUUUUGAUUGUUCUUAGAUUGAAAUAGAAUUGUAACUGGCUUUGGAGUCAGAUGAAUGGAAACCUGACCCUUGCUUUGAUCAUUUAAGAGUUAUGUGAUUCUUACUAAGAGUUUGCAGAUCUUUUUAGGUCUAGUUUUUCCUUUGUGAUACUGGAAUAAUUAUGGAUGUUUAAAUGAAAUAAUCUAUGAAAAGCACUUCUUACAAGACUCCUGGCACCUAAU